rnacentral:rRNA from 1 species
AACGUAGGUCACGAGCGUUGUCCGGAAUUACUGGGUGUAAAGGGAGCGCAGGCGGGUAGACAAGUUGGGAGUGAAAUGCAUGGGCUCAACCCAUGAACUGCUCUCAAAACUGUAGAUCUUGAGUAGUGCAGAGGUAGGCGGAAUUCCCGGUGUAGCGGUGGAAUGCGUAGAUAUCGGGAGGAACACCAGUGGCGAAGGCGGCCUACCGGGCACCAACUGACGCUGAGGCUCGAAAGCGUGGGGAGCAAACAGG